AUUGAACGCUGGCGGCAGGCCUAACACAUGCAAGUCGAGCGGAGCGGCGGACGGGUGAGUAAUGCCUAGUAAUCUGCCUGGUAGUGGGGGAUAACGUCCGGAAACGGGCGCUAAUACCGCAUACUAUCAGAUGAGCCUAGGUCGGAUUAGCUAGUUGGUGGGGUAAAGGCUUACCUAGGCGACGAUCCGUAGCUGGUCUGAGAGUAUGAUCAGUCACACUGGAACUGAGACACGGGCCAGACUCCUACGGGAGGCAGCAGUGGGGAAUAUUGGACAAUGGGCGAAAGCCUGACCCAGCCAUGCCGCGUGUGUGAAGAAGGUCUUCGGAUUGUAAAGCACUUUAAGUUGGGAGGCGUUACCUACAGAAUAAGCACCGGCUAACUUCGUGCCAGCAGCCGCGGUAAUUC
rnacentral:rRNA from 1 species